rnacentral:tRNA from 1 species
GCCAGUUUGGUCAAGCGGUUAAGGCACCGGACUAGAAAUCAGAAGAUAGUGAGUUCUAGUCCUGCUACAGGCA